UACGAAGGGGGCUAGCGUUGCUCGGAAUCACUGGGCGUAAAGCGCACGUAGGCGGCUUCUUAAGUCAGGGGUGAAAUCCUGGAGCUCAACUCCAGAACUGCCUUUGAUACUGAGGAGCUAGAGUCCGGGAGAGGUGAGUGGAACUCCGAGUGUAGAGGUGAAAUUCGUAGAUAUUCGGAAGAACACCAGUGGCGAAGGCGGCUCACUGGCCCGGUACUGACGCUGAGGUGCGAAAGCGUGGGGAGCAAACAGG
rnacentral:rRNA from 1 species